GUGGCAGGAUGAACAGGCUCGUCUUCGGACGAACUAGGUGGUCCACACCAGUGUCUCGGACAGCGGUUCGAUUCCGCUCAGCUCCAUUCCCCCGACCCACCGCCCCGCCGGCGGUGCGUCAUCCCGGGGCUGCAAUGGUUUCGACGGGGCAUGAGGAGGGUGACUGAAGCCUGCUCGGUAAGAGCGAACCCGUAACAGCGAACAACAUCGUUCGUUUCUCCCGUCAAGCCGCCCCCGUGGCUGCCUGACACUCUUAACGGAGACGGGGUGAGGUCAGCCUUGUCACCCAAAUGACCCAUGGGGCCUGGAAGGGCCC
rnacentral:tmRNA from 1 species